UGCAAGAAGAACUCUGGGGGAGCCAUGCCAGAGAGAUGGCCGGGAGCGAGCCCUGCGGCCAGAGAGUUUGUGGGCCAGCAGGAUCACUGAAGCAUGAUCUGGCCCUGGGGAGAGUUGACGAGUUCGUUUUAUAAUAUUUCCUGCAACAGGUUCACAGUGCUCUUAAAUGAUAAAUGAAAAUAGGAUUUCAUGUGUUUUAAUAAACUAAAUACUUGUACAAGAUAGUCAUUUUUUUUUAUUUUAGCAUGCUUACCUAUUUGUUGUUUUCCUGAAAUUGCAGGGGAGUUUGAAAAUGAAAUAAAUACUGUGCUAUGAUUUUCUUCUUGACCUGAGGAAAGUUUGGCAUAGUUAAAAAAAAAAAAAAACCAAAACAGUUCCCCAAAGUGAAAAAGACCUUGUGGUUUAAGAAGGCAGCUUUUAAUCUUCAUGAUAUAUAUGGCCUUCAGUUCCUCCUCCAAAAUAGCACAGAUUGGCUUUGUGACAUCAUCCCUGACUGUGCAGAUGGCGAGGACACAUCAUUUAGGGCCAGCUUAAUUAGUGAUGGACACAUUUCAGUGUUUUUAUUUCUUGGCUAUUUCAUCCUUCAGAAUUCUGUGACAUUUGAUUGCUCCCUCCAUAUGACCAAGGAAGUAAUGGAAACAAAUCACCAGAUUGAUCAACAUACUUAAGAUAAAAGUCUUAAGAUUUAUUUUCCUGAAAUGACUACAAAGUAAUUGUUGAACCUACAGUGAAGGUUUCGGUCGAUAUCUAUUCAAAUCUAAUUUCAGAGGAAAUGUUUUGCAUCUGUCCAGAGAGUCAGAGACUUUCAAGUCUUUUU
rnacentral:lncRNA from 1 species